CAGCUGUGGACUGUAUGACUGAUAUGAUAGCAGCAAGAAGGUCCCUGGGCCCUGGCCAGCUGAGGCCUCUAUGUGUUUUGUUCACAGUGGGCUGCAGCUGAUCCCACCAGGACAUUGGGCAAGAGGCAGAGGAAGCCAGAAGUGAUGACUCACGGCACAACAUCAUUGUAACUUCAUGGAUUCACAUGGAUUCAA